rnacentral:rRNA from 1 species
GACGAACGCUGGCGGCGUGCUUAACACAUGCAAGUCGAGCGGAGCGGCGAACGGGUGAGUAACGCGGGAGUAACUGCCCCCAUCUCUGGGAUAACAGUUGGAAACGGCUGCUAAUAACGGAUAGUGGGGGAUGACUCGCGUCCUAUAAGCGUGUUGGUGGGGUAGUGGCCUACCAAGGCGACGACGGGUAGCCGGCCUGAGAGGGCGACCGGCCCCAUUGGUCUGAGGUACGGCCCUAACUCCUACUGGGUGCAGCAGUGGGGAAUAUUGCACAAUGUGGGAAACCCUGAUGCAGCAACGCCGCGUGCGGGAUGACGUCCUUCUGGUUGUAAACCGCUUUCAGCCAUGACGCGGUAGUUGCAGAAGAAGCACCGGCUAACUACGUGCCAGCAGCCGCGGUAAUUC